UGAUCACCAAUUAGCAGCGAGUGUGCACUAUUUCAGGGCUGGUUAGUUUCAGCCUGGGAUGCGUCACGUCCGGAUCCUCCCCUUUUUCUGUUGCUACAGUGGUUACAGCCUGUCUUUUUCAUCGGUUUGUAUGUGUUCCAUCGGAUGCUGUAUUGGAUUUGAUUACUGCCCUCCUUUCAGUUUAACAGCGGGUUAUUUGAAGGCUGCAUAUCCUGAGCGGUGAACUGAUUGCAAAACUCAUCUAUCUGCAUUUGGAUUCUCUUUUUUCGUCCUGGGUGAUUAUUGUUGCGGCUCGGUUCUUUCUCCGCUGCGUGCCGUACGAACAAUAUUGGAUUACCAUUAUUUAAGGGGACUUUUGCUGCUGCUGUCUGGUUUCUGUGAUUGUUCUAAUUUACAUUUACUGGUUUACUUUGGGGUGGAGGAUCGUGCGGUUAUUGGAGCUGGCCUAAGUAUGACGUGGCCGCUCCUUACGAGUCCUGUUUUCCUCAGGGUUUUAACAAAGCACUGUUGUUGUGUUUAUAUUUUCUUUUGAAUAUUUGUAUAUUGUUAAUUGUGCUGUGUUGUGGUGACUGUUGUCCAUCGGUUUACGGUGGAAGUGUGACUUACUUUGAUUUUCAUUUAUUUCUGUUUAUGAGAUUUAUUUAUUUUGUUUUUGGUUUCUUUCAGGAGCUGGGGUCCCACGGGUGAAAGAUCUUUUGUGGUGGUGGUGCUGCUUCAACGUUUGCCGUGUGACACUUUUGAAGUGUACGAGUGUGUGAUCUGAGUUCACGGUGGGGUGUGUGUGGAAGUGUGCUUUUGGAUAACUAGUGCUGGUGAUCACACCGGGGGGUAACCUCAGCCCUGUAAUUAAGUGUAUAUAUAUAUAUAUAUAUAUAUAUAUUAUAGUUUUGUUUAACAUCUUUUCUUUGGUUGUUUCUUUUUGUUGUUUGUAACCUUGUCUGUCAUUGGAUCUUUUAACAGUGAGGAUAUUUUCUUUUUGUUAAGUUUGUUUUUGUAAUUUGGUAUAAUUUGAGUUUGAUUUUUGUGUGCAGUUUUUGUCUUAUGUAAUUGGUUUUGUGUAUUUGUUUUGAGUUGUCACUGGAGAGAGAGCUGCCAUGAAUGGCACCACUGAGGCUAUUUUAAGUGAUUUUUCUAUCUUGCAUUCAAGUUGUGAAUACAUUUUGUACUUUUGAUAUGAUGCCCACGUUUUCUGCCUACAUUUUUUUUUUUUUUUUUUUUUUGUAAGAGAAUCGAACCUGUGUGA